CUUAUGAAGUCAUCCUGUCCUGCGGGGCAAUUCUGUGUUGCUGCUGGGGCCUGGUCACUGAUAGAGAAGGGCGUCGGCUGGGCCUACCGGGCAGGAGCCGCCUCACCCCAUCAGGCCCAGAUCCUCUAAGACAAGACAGGGGUAAAGUCUCCCGUGGAAUCCCCUCCCGCCUCAUAUUCCCUGACCCUGCUCUCCCUGCGAGAACUCUAGUACGGGCUCCACAGAGGGAGCGAUGGAGUCUUGCUUAGUUGCCGAAGCUGGAGUAUUGUGGCUCGAUCUCAGCUCUGCAACCUCUGCCUCCCAGGGUUCAAGCAAUUCUCCUGUCUCAGUUUCCAGAGUAGCUAGAAUUAUAGAUUCUGGGAAAGCGAACUCCACGGAAGACUCAGAAACCAAGUUCUAAUUCAGUUGCCAUGAAAACUUAAGGUGAGGGGAUUGUCAAUCAGUGAAAAAUACGGAGGAAAACACUAACAGAAUAUGAUGAAGAAGCCAACACUUGGGCUGCUUGCAUUACAUUAACCGAGGUUUACCCGCAGCGAGGCUGCCU
rnacentral:sRNA from 1 species